ensembl:lncRNA
GGGGGAGGUGGGGAGAAAGGAGAGAGGUAGGGUGUUCAACAAGGGGAAGAGGGGGAAGGUGAGGAGAAAGGAGAGAAGUAGGGUGUUCAACAAGGGGAGGUGGGGAGAAAGGAGAGAGGUAGGGUGUUCAACAAGGGGAGGUGAGGAGAAAGGAGAGAGGUAGGGUGUUCAACAAGGGGAGAAGGGGGAAGGAGAGAGGUAGGGUGUUCAACAAGGGGAGGAGGGGGAGGAGAGAGGUAGGGUGUUCAACAAGGGGAGGAGGAC